rnacentral:RNase_P_RNA from 1 species
AAAGUAGGACAAGUGGUCGCCAGCGGAGGUUGGAAGGAAUCUUUCAACUCUGUUGGAGGAAAGUCGGGACUUCAUAGGGUAAGCAGGCCGUUAACGGCGGCCUCGGGUGACCGAGGGAAAGUGCCACAGAGAACUAGGUUUCCAAGGAGUGCUUAUGCUCUCUUUGGUAAAAGUGAAACGGUGAGGUAAGAGCUCACCAGCAGGGGAGGUAACUCCCUUGGCUUGGUAAACCCCAGCUGAUGCAAGACCGAAUAGGGAGGCAUUAUGGCGAUUUCAAUUCGCCGUGAUGGGCGUCACCCGCGCUUGAUUCUCCUUGCCAUUGAAGUUUUCUUCGAUUGUGAGGAGGCCUCCGGGUAGUGUCGCAUGAUCCAAUGGGCAACCAUUGGACUAGAUGAAUGACCACUGGCUUAGCGCUUAAUCGUUGAUUUUCGAGUCGCGGUAAAGGUUAAGCGACAGGAUCCCGCUUAUAGUCCUACUUUUUUG